CCUACGGGAGGCAGCAGUGGGGGAUAUUGCACAAUGGGGGAAACCCUGAUGCAGCGACGCCGCGUGGGUGAAGAAGCGCCUCGGCGCGUAAAGCCCUGUCAGCAGGGAAGAAAAUGACGGUACCUGAAGAAGAAGCCCCGGCUAACUACGUGCCAGCAGCCGCGGUAAUACGUAGGGGGCAAGCGUUAUCCGGAUUUACUGGGUGUAAAGGGGGCGCAGACGGCGAUGCAAGCCAGGCGUGAAAUCCCGGGGCCCAACCCCGGGACUGCUCUUGGAACUGCGUGGCUAGAGUGCAGGAGGGGCAGGCGGAAUUACUGGAGUAGCGGUGAAAUGCGUAGAUAUCAGGAGGAACACCGGUGGCGAAGGCGGCCUGCUGGACUGCAACUGACGUUGAGGCCCGAAAGCGUGGGGAGCAAACAGGAUUAGAUACCCCGGUAGUC
rnacentral:rRNA from 1 species